rnacentral:rRNA from 1 species
CAUAAAAAUCUCUUGUGAAUGCGCCCGAUCUCGUCUGAUCUCGGAAGCUAAGCAGGGUCGGGCCUCGUUAGUACUUGGAUGGGAGGAAAAAUAAAAAGUAAGAUGA